CAAAAAGUCUGUGUGUCGUAUAGUAUAUUUGAUUAAAAUCUUUUCAUUAUAAACUAAUAAAUUAAUUGUAUUUAACGAAUUGUUUAUACAAAAACCAACAAAUCUCAGUGAAAGAAUGGAAAGAUCGUCAGAACACUUAAGCGAAUUAGAGAAAAUAAAGGAGAAAAGAAGGCUCUAUAUGAGAAGUUAUAGAGCCAAGCAGUCGAAGGAAGGCAGAGAGCCUCAGAACCAGAAGAAGUCAGAAAGGAUCGUUUGCAGAAAAUGCGUCAGCAUGCCGCGCAAAGCCGAGCUCCAGACCAAAGCAAGUCAGAAAGGAUCGUUUGCAGCAAAUGCGUCAGCAUGCAGCGGAAAGCCGAGCCUCAGAACCAAAGCAAGGCAGAGAGGUUCGUUUGCAGCAAAUGCGUCAGCAUGCACCGGAAAGCCGAGCCUUAGAAUCAGAACAAGCCAGAGAGGCUCGUUUGAUGCAAAUGCAGAAACAAAACGAAAAGGUCCGAAGGUUACGUAAAGCCAGUAUAACGAGCUUUAGGCAGGCAAUUAACUCGUUUUGCGAUGCGAUAUGUGAAGUUUGUACUAAACGAUGCUAAACAUCAAAUUUUUAAGUGGAUUGUAGAUGCUAGAGCAAACACAUAUUUGCCUAAUGAAUUAAAGCUAAAAAUAAUUUUGGUUGUUUGCAAUCGUUGCAAAACCCAUUUGAAUUCAAUGAAAAAUAUUCCACCAUCUAAAUCUUAUUGGAACAAUCCAGAUCCAGGCUUUAUUCCAGACGUGAUUUCGGAAUUAUCUCAAGCCGAGCAAAGGCUGAUUUCACGUAUUAUUCCAUUUGCCAAAAUUAUAAAAUUAAGCGGUGUAUUUGGGCAAUAUAGUUUUCGAGGUCAAGCAGUAUUGUUUGCUCAGGAUGUUUUCGAAGUUACUUAAAAACUUCCGAACAUGUUACCAAGAACCACUAAUAAUGCUAGAAUAGUUGUCAUUACUGAAUUUUUGGAAAAUAUUAAUGUAACGCGACAGUUUUCAGUAUCUAGGCAAAAGGUAUAUGAUGCACUACAUUGGUUGGUCGCUAACAAUCCCCUUUAUAAAGACGUCACUAUCAAUCAAAACGUCAUAAUGAAUGAAGAGGAUAUUAUUAGAGUAGAAAAAGCUCCACUAGAGGUUAUGAAUGAAAUCAAUGAUGAACUUAACAAUAACACUAGUGCUUACACAAGAAUAUAUGAUUUUUCGAGAAUUGCGCGUGCUUCAUGGCACCAAGGAAACGAGCUCAUAUUCGCAUCAGGAUUUGCACAAUGCUGUGCGAUGGAAUUGUCUAACAUCCUAAGAGCCAGUAUUCUUGCACCACAGCAGUGGUUUACAAACGCCCUCAACUUGAAUAUGAUAACGGGUGACCAAAUCUACAGCAAUAUAAGAUUUCAAACGGAGCGAAAUUUAAUGGCCUAUCGUAUUGAAGACGAUGGAUACCUACUGGUGCGAAAUUUCCACGCAAUAAAAGAUGUUUUAGUCGCAUUCGGCAAACGGUUUCAGAUCACUUUUGCCGAUGAACCAAGCAUAUAUGGAAGCUUGAGCGACAAGAAUAAUGAAACAAACUUCGGACGCACCCUUGGUCAAGGGGUGGAAGAACUUUUCAUGGAACAUAGCGCCGGCAUAAUAAUAACAGAUGGACAAUCAUUCGGAGUGAUGUACUAUGAUAACAAAUAUUACUUCAUUAACUCACAUUCUUGUGGUCAAAUGGGAUCUAGAGCAAAGGGUAACAAUGGAAAAGCCUGCAUUAUCGAAUACGACAAUUUAGACGAGUUUGUGAGGAUUUGUAAACGUACAACAGACUGAAAAAAUGUGCAGUAUACUCUUGAUUAUUUUUAAUGAUUACUUCUCAACAUGAACUACCUAAUCAUUUAAUUCCACUGCAGACAUCUUUGAUGGCGCCGAUUGAUGUAAUGCAUCCCAAUGUGGAAGAUGAACUACAGGUUUCACAAAACCUUAACGAAAUUACCCGCAAAACGAAAGACAACAUCGUUAAUAUCGGACAUGAACUGAAAGCAGAAGAAUUUGCCUGGUACUUCUCAAAGAACAAAGGCCUGUAAAUAUUACAGCGUUAGACUACUUUCAGUUUAGAAUUUUGGGAAGUGACACAAGAUCUCAACGUAACGACUAUCUAUUUUAUGCCUUAUCCUUCUCUGAAUAUUAUAGAAUCAAAAGCACUACAUCUGCAUGCGGCUAAAAAAUUGUUAAUCAAGAAGAAGCAAUAGAAGAUGUUCAUAUUUAUGUAAAAAAUUUAAGAGGUUCGGGAGCUUAUUGGAGAUCAGCUCUGAUUGAACUAUUAGCUGAAAUCAGAUGUUUAGGACCUCCAACAUACUUUGUAACAUUUAGCUCAAAUGAGCUCAACUGGCUAGACCAACGAAAGGCUUUGCUAAUAGCCGAUGGUAGGGCUGAUGUUGAUCCCAGUACUCUCGAUAUUUAUGAGACCCAAAGACUUAUCGAGAAGUAUCCAGUAAUUUUGAGUCGACAUUCCAUGUUAAGAGUAAAUGCUCUAAUGAAAUUUAUAAAAAAUAAUGAUUAUGAGUUUGGCGGAAAAGUGAAGAAUCAUUGGUGGCGCAUUGAAUUCCAGAAUCGGGGCAGUCCUCACCUUCAUAUGGUGAUUUGGAUGGAAAAUCAUCCCGAGUUUGACUCAGAAGAAGGGAAACUUCUUCUGGAUCGUAAUUGUUGCUGUAGAAACCCUCCAGAAGAAGAAGACCCAGAGCUUCAUGAAUUAGUUAAAAAAUGUCAAAUUCAUCGGCAUACACAAACUUGUUCAAAAAAUAAUAUUUCUAUAAGAUGCCGAUUCGACUUCGCACGCCAAGAAUGUGACGAGACACGAAUUGUGUCACAUUCUUCAGAUGAUUUUCAUCGUAACGGAGGGAGAAUUUGUUUACUUAAGCGUCGAAAGGAAGAUGUUUGGGUAAAUAAUUACCACCCAGAGCUGCUAAGACUGUUGGCAGGCAACAUGGAUAUUCACCCAUGUGGAUCAAACGAAGCGAUAGCGUACUAUAUAGUACCUAUCGAAAGCAGAACCUGCAGGUAUAGAUUCUGGAAUUGCGCAGGCAAUACAGCAAAUUCAACGCGAAGAAACUGAUAUUUCACGCAAACUGUUCAGCAUAUGUAUGAAGAUUCUUCAUGAACGACAAGUAUCAGCUGCAGAAUGUGCAUAUAGACUUUGUCAUAUCCCAUUACGAGACAGUUCUCGAAGCUGCAUUUUUCUGAACACAAGAAAGGCAGAACAGCGUGACAGAGUAUUGCAAUUCGACAGAAACGGGCGCGCAACUGGUUAUUGUAGUAAUAUCUUUGAAAUAUAUCAAAAACGUCCGUUACAAUCUCCCGAUUACGAUUUUGCAAACAUGAGCCUUACAGAGUUUGCAAUGUUGUUUGAACCAUUCUAUCCGAAAAAAGUAAGCGAAACUGAGGAAAGUGUUGAUCAUGACGCGUAUGAAGAAUUUCGUAACACACGUCGUCCACUCAUUACGCUAUUAGAUAAGAGCAAAAUGGUUGUGAGAAAGGUUCCCGCAGUUGUUAGGGUGCCAUAUUUUAUAGCAAUAUCACAUCCCGACAACUUUUUCUAUAGCUUACUUCUUCAAUAUAUGCCUUAUCGUUUGGAAACUGAAUUACUUGAAGGUUUCGAUAAUGCAAAAGAGGCGUUUUUACAUCGAGAGAAUCGUUUGAAGGAAAUGAGCAGGUAUAUGCGCCAAUUUCGAGAGCGUGACCAACAGCUUGAAAAUGCAUUCAAUCAGAUACAUGCAUUUGAAAUUUUAGAACAGCCAGAGAUUAUAAAUCCUGAAGUUAUAGAAGAGGAAUUACCGGACACAGAAAUGAGCAAUGAUCAAUUUCAAAGAGCACAGCACGCUAUGAAUAUUGAUCAAAAACAAUUUUUUACUGUCAUUACAGAGAGUAUUAAGAAUCAACUUAAUGGUGAUAUUAAACGAGAGAAAACUUUCGUCACAGGUGGAUCAGGCACCGGAAAAACUGUAAUGUAUUGAAAAACCAAGUUAACCGAUGUUAUGGAAAAUUGGUCGUGAAAUUUGUCCUCUUACUGGAGUUGCAGCACGGUUGGUCGGAGGUUCUACACUACACAGCCUGUUGAAACUACCAGUACAAAAAGAUGGCGUCAUCAAUAACAUGCCACUUCUUACAGGAAAUUAUUUAAGAGGGAUGCGCCAGUUAUGGCAAAACGUUGAGUUUCUGUUCAUAGACGAAAUUUCUAUGGUGCCUUAUGAAACGCUUUGCAUGAUCGACUCUCGUUUGCGCCAACUAAAGAGACAGGACGCUUGUUUUGGAGGUAUAAAUGUCUUACUCUUUGGUGAUUUAAUGCAGUUACCACCUGUCCGAGGACAUCAAGUAUUUCAACAGCCAGAACAUAUGAAACCCGCUACACAUUUGUGGCGACAAUUCCGCCUGGUUGAACUCCAACAAAACAUGCGUCAACAAGAAGAUACGACAUUUAUAGAUUUGCUUAAUGCUUUAAGAGUUGGAAAGUUGACGUCGAAGCAUCUUGAAGUUCUUCUUGAAAAAGUGUCAACAGAUACCACUGAAGAAUUCUCGAUUGAGAAAGCUUUAAGGAUUUACCCUACUAACGACUAAGUUGUUAUACAUAAUAAAAAAGUUCUGAAGAGCUUUCAAGAUAAAGGGACUGUUAUUUAUACGAUUAAAGCACAAGACUAACACAUUGACGCUACACGAAAUUUAGGUAAUAAGGACUUAAAUACUGUAAUACCGAAUGAUAUCAAUAAAACAGGAGGUGGAGCAAAAGUGAUGUUAAGGUCGAUAUUAUUAUAGUGAAUGGUAAUAUGGGGUUUGUUACAGAAAUUAUCUGGCCAAAUUUUCGCAGGGACCAAGUAUAUGCAGAAGACAUCCCGUCACAAAAUACAGCUAUGGAAUCGCUGAGAGACGAAUGUUGCCAAUAAUACUGAGUUGGGCGUCGACCGUUCAUAAGAUGCAAGGUUGCACAGUAGAUCACGCAGUAAUUUAUCUGGGCUCUCGACUGUUUGCUGCUGGACAAGCUUAUGUAGCACUUAGUCGUUGUAGAUCUUUGGACGGAAUUCGAAUUGAAGAACUAGACUCUUCAAAGUUGACAGCUUCAAGUAUUUUGGACAAAAUAGGCAACAGUGAUAUUGGCCGAUAUGACGAGGCCUCCUGGGCGCUUUUGCCAAGUUUUUCUACCAUAAUGAUUUCAGAUACCUUCCAUGACAAUGGGACGUAUCUGAGAUCUAAGCAAGCGUUUAUUAUUGAUGUAAGUUUUUCUAAUGUUUUUCGCGUUAGAUUUUUUAUUACAUCAGCAGUCACCAAGUCGAAGCCGGGAGCUUUUUUUGGCUUAAAUCUAGUUUUAAUGAUACUUUCCACUUCUUUUAUUGAUACUGGUUGGAUUUCUCCUACGCAUUGCGAUCCUUCCAGUUGCGGUAAAGUUCCAUGAAACACAAAAGGACUAAACUUUUUAGUUAGUUUCUCUGGAAAAACUUCCCCUUUUUCUUGGUCACUUUUGGCCCAGGAUCCGUUUGGCUUUCUGAGGGGUGUAUUCGACAAUAUUGGUUUUCUUGCAUUUUUUACAGCUUUCCAAAGGGAAUAAUCG